rnacentral:rRNA from 1 species
GAUGAACGCUGGCGGCGUGCCUAAUACAUGCAAGUCGAGCGAACUUUUGGGAGCUUGCUCCCAAAAGUUAGCGGCGGACGGGUGAGUAACACGUGGGCAACCUGCCUAUAAGACUGGGAUAACUUCGGGAAACCGGAGCUAAUACCGGAUAACAUAUGAUACCACAUGGUCUCAUAUUAAAAGAUGGCUUUUAGCUAUCACUUAUAGAUGGGCCCGCGGCGCAUUAGCUAGUUGGUGAGGUAAUGGCUCACCAAGGCGACGAUGCGUAGCCGACCUGAGAGGGUGAUCGGCCACACUGGGACUGAGACACGGCCCAGACUCCUACGGGAGGCAGCAGUAGGGAAUCUUCCGCAAUGGACGAAAGUCUGACGGAGCAACGCCGCGUGAGCGAAGAAGGUCUUCGGAUCGUAAAGCUCUGUUGUUAGGGAAGAACAAGUACCGUUCAAAUAGGGCGGUACCUUGACGGUACCUAACCAGAAAGCCACGGCUAACUACGUGCCAGCCGCCGCGGUAA